UACGUAGGGUGCGAGCGUUGUCCGGAAUUAUUGGGCGUAAAGAGCUCGUAGGCGGUCUGUCGCGUCGAUCGUGAAAACUUGGGGGCUUAACCCUGAGCUUGCGGUCGAUACGGGCAUGACUGGAGUUCGGCAGGGGAGACUGGAAUUCCUGGUGUAGCGGUGAAAUGCGCAGAUAUCGGGAGGAAUACCGGUGGCGAAGGCGGCAUCCUGGACCGGCAUUGACGCUGAUGAGCGAAAGCUAGGGGAGCAACGGGG
rnacentral:rRNA from 1 species